rnacentral:lncRNA from 1 species
AGAGAGUUAAGUCCAUUUGUUAAUGCUGCCUCACUCUAUGCACUGGAAAUGCCGAGGGGCCGUGUGGCAUCUUCCCUGAAGCGGCUCUUCCGCACAGUCAAGGGCGACCCGAAUUGGAUUCGUUUAUUUAGCAAGGGGCGGGGGGGGGGGGGGGGGGGGGUGAGCGCUGCUCAGCCCUCAAUGGCUCUGAGACAGCCCCUUCCAUUUUAAGUUGCUGGUCUUAAGAAAGUUCAGAUCCCUUUGAAUAAUCUGAGAUGUGUGAAAUAAGGUUAGUCACAGGAUUUCCUGCCACCAGCGCUCGCAAACAAACUUUCCUCACUUCCUCUUUUUUCAAAGUCCAGUUGCUUUUGUUUCAGUGCUUACAGCCUCCACUCUGGUACCGAUGGUGAAAAAGGGCGGACGGAAUCUCAAGUUCUCUGUGUGCCCUUCCCUGUCUCUCGGUCUGUCUGUCUCUCACACGCACACACAUGAGAGGCGUUACAUUGAAACCACAGACAUUCCAUCCAUCACCAAACUCAGAUUCGGACAACUUAGCUUCUUCUAGUUCUUGGUUUUGGCUCCUCUCUCUUCCUUAUUUGUUAUCUGUCUUCCAGGCCACUGAAUUUCCCAUCCUCCUAUUCUAGCCUUUCUUUUGCUAUGAUCCUCUUCCUUCCGCCUCAGAGGCUUAGAUUUUCAACCCCCCCAGAGCCCCAGACCCUGAACUACUCCUAGCUGCAUGCGAAUAUUCUCUCCCCCAUCACGCACCCUCAUCCCACCUAACCUCUUCAUUAGACGAAUUUUCCUAGCCCAGCCUCACAGAAGGCCCAAAGCACAGCUAACCUGUGAGCUUCCUGAAGGGAGGGCUUUAGUCUUAUGCAUAUCUGUACCCCUGAGCACUGGGUCAGGCCCUCCAUGUUUGUCGAAAGAAUGGAGACAAAACUAAGCAAUCAGAUGAAGGGUUAUCCCUCCCAGGUAACAAUAUUUUAGUUCAAUUAAAAUGUCUGUUUCCUUGAGGCCAUGAAAGAUAGAAUCUAAUGGGAAUUUUAGACCCUCAGGCAUGGUUUCUCCACUUUGACAUAUCUCAGGUUCUUCAGAUGCCAUGUGCGAUGGGGCUGGAGAUUUCUUGACUCAGAGUUGUAAGUCCCCCAUUUUCAGCUGGCUGUCCAGGUUUUCCGGCAGCAUUCCUCUCCUUCCACCUUGCGCACUGAGGACCAGCACAAGUGACUUAUAACUCAAGCUCCAUACUAUAUAUACGCCAGUAAGGUAUCUCCAGGUCCAGUUCACAUGGCUCACUUGGCAUAAGUAUAAGCCAUGGGUGGAUGCUAUUCAAGAUCCAUCUCCUGGCAUUCGUUUUUAACCCAAAAGCCUUUUCUUCCAGUGACGGGAUUCGGGUGGAUUCACUUUACUUCCACCAUCUAGUCCAGGGUGGGGCAGUGACCUUUGGUUCUCAUUCUGGUUUCUGGAGGCAAAAGGUUCUGUGUUGUUUGAAUCUUACAUGGAGCUCAUUUGCUUCUGGUAGAACCCAUUUCUAGGUAUGCGGUCUACACCUGCAUCACCGACACAACUGGCACACUCUGACUACUCAGCUCUAUGAAUUUGGCUUCUCUUUACCUCCUGUUCCAGCCCACAACACAGGCCUUGCUCUCUCCAUGAACUGUGCUAUGUACUUUUCUGCCUUAGGAGGCUCUGCCUGGCAUUAACCACCACCAUGCAUCUAGGAUCCUUGGCUUUGAAUCAUCCUUUUCUUAAUUCUUCAGCCAAUCUCUGUCCCCUCGCCUGCAUUUUCUUGUCAUAGCUUUACUGCUGUUAGUUUUCUUUAAGUGCCUCAAUUAAUAGCUUUAUAACAUACCAACUAAGGGUCAACUUCGUCUCUUCCUCCCAUCCCUGAUCUAGUUAAGGGGUCCCUCUAUACCACCUAACGGAACGGCUUAAGAGCAAGGACCAUGGUUUAUGCUUCCACAUGUCCCGCACGGCAACAAGCACAGAGCUUUCGAUAUAGCCAAUACUCGCUAAAGGUUUGCUGAUGUAAUUCUCUUGAAUGACAUCUCUCAUUUAGAGCUCCCCAACGCACAUCUGCAUUUUAAAGACAGUGCUGAUUCACUUCAACUUUCCGGGGAAUAUACUCGAGGCCCCACAUUUGCCAGUGCAAACAACUAUCUCCAAAUCUGUGUCGUGGUGGUUGGGGGCUGUUCGAAAUCACUUUUGAGGGAAGAAGGCAUGUAGCUUUUCAGUUGGCUAACUGAUAGUGGCGGGCAACAUUUCUACAGCUUGUGCCAUAGGAGUACAGAGGGUGCAGCCAGAAACCAAAAACCACUGGGAUCACAUCAUGUUUGAGUGCAAGUGGAGGCUUGGUGCUGUUAACCUAGGAAAGGGGGUCCAACGGGUAGCACCAAAUGCCCACCCUGAUGUAUUCAAACUUUGACUGAUUAUAUGAAAAGGAAGUGUGCUUUCUGCUCCUUGAUGAAAAUAAUGGAUAUGAAGUCCCUUUGAGAAGGUAUUCCAACCGGAUCACAUCCCAGACAGGUAGCAUUCUACCUCUUAACACUUGGAGGAAUUUCGUUGCAGUUUCCAAGUACUUUCCUUAAGUCGAUCUCAGGGCGGGGCGGGGGGGAGAUGGUACUUCUCCCUAAAUAACAUACGACAACUUCACCUUUAAAAGGACUUGAGUUUCUUAAAUCUGAUUUACAAUGAGAACCGAGACAGUGGCCAGAUGGCAAAUAUUCAAUCACCCCUAGCCCUUCAUAAGUAAUCAUUUCUAAAGGAAAGAGGGGCCUCCCUAGUUUCAAAUCUUCUUCUAAACUGCUAUUGGCAAAAUGAAUUGUGUAACUCUCCACUUUUCAGCAAGACUUGGACCUAGUACCUUCUCACGUGUCACAGAGUUGGGCAUAUGGUAGACAAUUAGUCACUGCUUAUGAGUUUCAAUGUAAAAAACCUUUUUUUUCCCUUCCUACUAUGUUCCAAACAUUGUGGAAGGCAAAAAAGCGGGGUAUAUGUUUCACAGGACAAGUCUUUGGCCCUUGUCUCAGAAUCUAGUGGAUCAGAUGAACAUGGAAAUCAAUAAUUAAAAUGAAAUGUGAUAAAUGCCAUAACAGGGGUUUGUAUGAAGAUGAAUGGGAGGACUACGUCCGGGUUAGACUUUUCACUGAAGACUUUUGUUGUAGACUGCUCCUACACGAUAAGGUAGACAACAGGAGACAGAAAGUUUUUCCCCAUAGAAUGCAAAACACAGAAACGAGAAAGGUCAUGAGUGGUUCCAGGAGGAGAAGAGAGCUAGUUCUGGCCAAAGCUUAGGGUGUGUAAAGAGGAGAGGAUGAAAGGGAUGAGGCAGGACCAAGCUAAGGAAUUAGGAUUUCAUUCCGAAGGUGCUGAGGAGCCACUGAUGGGUUUCAAGCAAGCGAGUGUCACGUUCAGAUUUACACUUUUAAAUAGCCCACUUUAGCAGCAACAUGUAGGACAGAGCCUAAGGUCACGAGCAAACCAGUUAGGAGACUACUGCUAUAAUCCAGAUAAAAAACACUAGUGGCUUGGCCUCAAUUUUGGAGUCAAUGGUGGAAUGUUUAUCACUUAACUGUGAGAUCUGGGGCAAGUCUUUGGGCCCUGGAAACUCAGUAUCUUCAAAGUAGAAGCAAAAAUAGCUACGACUCACCUCACUUAUCUGUUGCAGGAAUUAAAUAAAGUCAUGUUAUGAAAAUGUGCUUUAUAUCCUGGAAGGUAUCAUAUACAAAUGUUAACUGUUAUUCCAUUGCCUUGAAAAUUUGCAUUUCUUGAAUUCAACGAGACUACAUCAUGACCUUUUUCCUUAGAACCAGUUACUGCUACUGUGUUUCUCAUAAUUAGAGAAAAUGCUGCUUUCAGGACAGACAGGCAGAAGGGAUUAUUCAAGUCACAAUGACGAGUCAGGAUGACAAGUCAAUCACCCACACUCUCCGGCCCCCCCUCCCCUAUGCUGCCAAGCAGGAAAUGGCUGUCAGGGGUUAUUUUGCAGGUGACAGUUAACAGCCAUACGUUUAACAUUCCAUCCAACCUAGUGCUUCGGCUUGCUUUUAGUCACAUAGGUAAGGACUCACUGUUUAUGUCCUGAAACAGCAACAGUUGUAACUUGGUGAUUUGAGAUUUGUUUACACGAGCUAAUCAGCAGAUUCUGACCAAGAAAAAUGUCCUCGGGCCCAAGGAGGACACAGACACAAAUGUUAUUUACUCUGAACUGUCAAUUAAAAGUCUACAUAAAUAAUAAUAAACAUGACCUGUGAACUGGUCUUCAGUGAUGUCUCGCCCUCACACGCCUAUGUUUGGAAAGGAGUUGCACCUUCAUUCUCUUCCUCUCAACUGUUUUUGUGAGGGGAACUACGGCUUGUUUUUUACAGGUUGACCAGAUAUCCCACACACUUUGUAGGAGGAUAAGUAAUGUGGGUUUCUGUCUCCAGCUCUGUGGCAUCUGUUGAUCUUCUGUAUUGCUCUGAGUUCCCGUGGCACUAAUUCAGUUGUCAACUGUACACAUCUGAUUAGAACUCAUCUUUUGAAAGUAUUGCUUUCCAGUCUCUCUUGGAACACAGGGACCCUUCCGUCCUCAUGUAUUUCUUGGGCUUAUUUCUUAUGUUAUUUUAAUAAGGUUUAUUUCUUUCCAGCAUCAAAGACAUUCUUCUAGAGUUUUUGUUUUGAAGAGGCAUAAAUCCGACUCCACAAAAGGCAGCCUUCCAACUGAGAACAUAUUAUAUAUACUUGAGAAGAAGCAACCUUAAAUUUUACUCUAUACGGUAAUAGCUAACAUUUCUUGACCACUUAAUAUGUGCCAGACAUUCCACUGAGUGCGUUACAUGAACUAUCCAUUUAAUUCUCAAGAUAACUCCGUAUGGUAGGUACUAUGAUUAUCUUUAAAGAUCAGUAAAUCGAGCCUCAAAAUGAUUAGGAAGCUUAAGACCACACAGCUGAAAAGCGGCAGAACUAUAAUUUGAACCCAAGUCUCUUUGAUGUCAGAACUUGGUUUCUUACUCAUUAUAGGAUGCUGUUAAUACAAUAUCAUCUCAUGUAUUUUUAUUAGUGCUGGCUUAAAGCCAAAUGGGGAUGUGUGAGAAGCUUCUCUUCUAGUAAAGAUCUGCCUCUGUCUUCUGGGACCACUCCUACUUCACCCGAAUGUGUCCCAUCCUGUGCCUUCAUAGCGUCCCCAGGAUCUGACCUAAGUCUGUUCUUUAGGAAAAUGAACCUUUGCCUCUACUAUCUUCCCAUCAAAAUACACCAGUCAGAUGCUUUCCUUAAGGCACUUCUUGUAACUGUCAGUGGAAGGGAUCUGAUAAACUAAUUCAUACCUGGGUGCUAAUGACUGACAACAAUUUAUUACUUUCCUCAAAGAUAUCUGCAUAUUAAGAAUGAAUUCUUGCCUUAACCCAGAGUAAACAAAGAGAAAUCUAAAAAUUUCAGGUCAGGGUCUCCUCAGUGCUACCAUGCUGGCAAUACAUAAUGCCACAGGUGGAGCCUGAUGCUCGUCAUAUCUCUGUGAAUGACAGAGCUCAUAUGAUAUAUAUGUACAAUACUGUAUCAUUCAUUCAAGAGAGAAUGUAGAAAUUGAUAAGUGGAAUUAUUACAGGAUUUAACUGAAGCUACAUUAAUAAUUGUUACCUAAGUCAUCAGUAGAGAUGGAACUAGUAUUUAGAGAGGAAUUGUAUAAUUAGAAAACUACUAUUGGAAUGAGCUAUUUAUGGAGCAUCCUUUAGGGACCUCAAAGUACCAUCUGGGAAAAAUCAUACUGUCUGCAUGAUUCUUGCCAAGGCGUCUUUGUAUAACUGCAUAUACAAAAAUCUAUAUAACACUGAGGAGUUACCAUUAUAUUUGAGUUUUCAAGUAACAGAGAUGGAGUCAUGGUAUGGAUUUAUCCAUAUUCUAUUACCCACGUUCCAUUGGGACCUGCCAUUGUGAAAUAGCUGGCUGAGGCUAAAGUUACAGACUAUAUCCAUGAAACUGAAUGAGGUUAACUUAAACAAAUGGGAAUUGAACCACCAACUCUGACCUCAGUAAUUGCAUGCUCUAAACAACUGAGACUUGCCAGCAUCCGAAUAAGAUUUAACAAAUUCAUUCCCCGGAACUGAAAGUUUGGCUUUAGGGGUACUUAAUUUACUCACUUGGCCAAAAAGAUCCAAAUACUUAUUUAAUUUUUAAUAUAAUCAACUAUAUACUAUGUACCAUUCACUGUAAAUAAAAGUUACACUUUCUCCUCAAAUACAGAGAUAAAAUAACAUCGAAGUCAUAGGAUUAUUGUUGAAAAAUUAGGUAAUAGUUGUGAAAACACUCUAAAGCACAGUACAUAGUAGAUCAUAAUGAGAAGAGUUUACCUUCUGGAAAAUCAGAAUCGUAUGUAUGAUAACAAUCAGAUACAUCGAUGGGAAUGAAAAAUGUUAAGUAGAGGAGUAGCAUGAUCAGAUCUGUGUCUUGGAAAGAUUGCUUAGGUGGAAAUGCUGAGAAUGGAUUAGCAGGGGAUGAGGGGUAGGGGAGAGUGGGUCCAGGAGAGACAGGACAGUCAUGUACUUUAGAUAACAGAGAAAUUCCGUUGGCUCUUCUGCACCCAGUGACUGGGCAAUCAGAUUCUUUCCUUCCUAUUUGUUUUCUGUCCCUUCUGAGAGCAAUUAUCAAGGAGCCGCAGAUCUCUCAAACCUGAGUUCUGCUCCCAGGAUGUGGUGUACGGGGCCGGGGUACCUCGCAUGGGGGCCUGGAUAAAAAUCCCAGGGAAUGGGUUGGUCUCAGUACACCACUCAUUCAUGGAUGCCCAGAGCAAAAAGGUUCAAGUUGGAGAAGUCAUAUCAAGUGCCCGGUCCUAGGGUGAGGCCAGGCGGUAAGAGGAAAAAUGAGUCAGCCAUUAGAACAGACUGAGGAACGGUUAGGAAUGAGUAUGAGAUAAGCUGGGGUGAAUGGUUCAGAACAGAAGCCAUGAAUUCUGCAAGAAUGAGGGAGGCCCGUUUUCAUGUAAUGUGGGUAGGCUGGUACAGGCAAAUACCUGAUAGCUUAAGGCACUAAACAGGCCCAGACACCAUAUAUGGAAUCCCGAGUCCAAAAUAUCUCUGCGUCAAGGGCUGAAGAAGCUUACAUUCUUAGAAUUAGAACAUAGUUUCCUAUUUUUGUUUCAUUUUCCUAAGGUUUGCAGUAGAAAUACACAUUCUCAAUAAGACCACAAGUUCUUUUCCCUCUUUGAAAUGUCACGGGACAGAUGAUUUCUAAUCCAGGAGUCUAAAUCCAAGGCUAUCUAUCCUUCUCAUUCUAGUGGGUUACUGUUUUCAAAGACACGUCCUCUAAUUUACAAAUACAGGCUGCUUCAUGAACCGUGUGUAACAGGUAGCAGAGGCUUAGUUACUGACAACUGCCAGGCAGUGACUUGGAACACAGCUCUUGGUUUUCGACUUUGCUGUAACAUGAUACAGAGCACACAUUUUACAGACCACACAUUCUACCUCCAGAGAGAUGUCUACGUUUGUUAAACUUUUUGUUCGGGCUGCCGUAAGCUGCGUAUGCUGCUCUAGGCUCUCCAAGACAUUCAUGUGGACCUUGUGGUUGACAGAGAAUAAAAGCAGGGAGCAGGAAAAGUGCAGAGAGAAAAUACAGUGACUCCUUCCCCCGUCCCCCCAAAUAUACGAGCAGUUACAAAGGGGAUAAAAAGCUUAGGCAAGAAAAAGCCUGUGGAGGAAAAUCCAGGCUGGGAAAGGCUCGGUAAUCACAGCUGUCUCUGAUUCCUUCUCGUCUGAGUUUCGUCCUUUGUUCUGCUCCAAGAUGUCGCCCCAUCCUCUCAGUGGGGCAGGCAGUGCCCCUGCCAUCCCUGGUGUCUGUCAGCCCUCUGACUGCCUAUGCUCUCCUGGGCCAGUGAAGGGCAAUUCUACCAGAACAGGGGGGACAUUUUUCAAGUGGAUUUUGACUAUGACAGAAAGAGGAAAUAAACGCAAGGAAACUCUGAUGCCCAGAACUGGACAGGAUUCUUUAUUCUAUGACAGUGAUGAUUCUCGAAGUGGGCUCCUAAGAUCAGUGGUAUCGGCAACACGAGGGAACACAUCAGAAAUGCAAAUUCUCAGG